AAUGACCAAUACCUGAGUUUUUUUAGUGUGUGCAGUAGAAUGUUGUGGUCUACUGUGUCAAAGGCCUUUGCAAAAUGAAGGAAAAUAGCUCCAGUUAGGUCUCCUUGUUCCAUGCCAGUUUGGAUGUCAUUGCAAUCUUUUAAGAUGGCAGUUGUAGUGGAGUGAUUCCGGCGAAAACCUGAUUGAUGGAUCAGGGGUCAGAUAGUUAGAUUGUUGGUAAUACUCACAUAGUUGGGUAUGAAUGCAUUUUUCUAAGAUUUAUGACAAUACUGGGAGCAAUGAUAUUGGGCGAUAAUUAGAAACCAAAGUAAU